rnacentral:rRNA from 1 species
AUUGAACGCUGGCGGCAGGCCUAACACAUGCAAGUCGAACGAGUGGCGGACGGGUGAGUAAUGUCUGGGAAACUGCCUGAUGGAGGGGGAUAACUACUGGAAACGGUAGUUAAUACCGCAUACCAUCGGAUGUGCCCAGAUGGGAUUAGCUAGUAGGUGGGGUAAAGGCUCACCUAGGCGACGAUCCCUAGCUGGUCUGAGAGGAUGACCAGCCACACGGGAACUGAGCCACGGUCCAGAGGCCGACGGGAGGAAGCAGUGGGGAAUAUGGGGCAAUGGGCGCAAGCCUGAUGCAGCCAUGCCGCGUGGAUGAAGAAGGCCUUCGGGUUGUAAAGUUGUUUCAGCGGGGAGGCGGUACCCGCAGAAGAAGCACCGGCUAACUCCGUGCCAGCCGCCGCGGUAAUAC